rnacentral:rRNA from 1 species
CCUACGGGUGGCAGCAGUGAGGAAUAUUGGUCAAUGGGCGCGAGCCUGAACCAGCCAAGUCGCGUGAAGGAUGACUGCCCUACGGGUUGUAAACUUCUUUUAUAAAUGAAUAAAGUCCGGCACGUGUACCUUUUUGUAUGUACCUUAUGAAUAAGGAUCGGCUAACUCCGUGCCAGCAGCCGCGGUAAUACGGAGGAUUCGAGCGUUAUCCGGAUUUAUUGGGUUUAAAGGGAGCGUAGGUGGGUUGUUAAGUCAGUUGUGAAAUUUUGCGGCUCAACCGCAAAACUGCAUUUGAUACUGGCAGCCUUGAGUUCAGUUGAGGUAGGCGGAAUUCGUGGUGUAGCGGUGAAAUGCUUAGAGAUCACGAAGAACCCCGAUUGCGAAGGCAGCUUACUAAACUGCGACUGACAUUGAGGCACGAAAGUGUGGGGAGCAAACAGGAUUAGAUACCCGGGUAGUC